rnacentral:rRNA from 1 species
GGGUUGUGAGGUUAAGCGACUAAGCGUACACGGUGGAUGCCCUGGCAGUCAGAGGCGAUGAAGGACGUGCUAAUCUGCGAUAAGCGUCGGUAAGGUGAUAUGAACCGUUAUAACCGGCGAUUUCCGAAUGGGGAAACCCAGUGUGUUUCGACACACUAUCAUUAACUGAAUCCAUAGGUUAAUGAGGCGAACCGGGGGAACUGAAACAUCUAAGUACCCCGAGGAAAAGAAAUCAACCGAGAUUCCCCCAGUAGCGGCGAGCGAACGGGGAGCAGCCCAGAGCCUGAAUCAGUGUGUGUGUUAGUGGAAGCGUCUGGAAAGGCGCGCGAUACAGGGUGACAGCCCCGUACACAAAAAUGCACAUGCUGUGAGCUCGAUGAGUAGGGCGGGACACGUGGUAUCCUGUCUGAAUAUGGGGGGACCAUCCUCCAAGGCUAAAUACUCCUGACUGACCGAUAGUGAACCAGUACCGUGAGGGAAAGGCGAAAAGAACCCCGGCGAGGGGAGUGAAAAAGAACCUGAAACCGUGUACGUACAAGCAGUGGGAGCACGCUUAGGCGUGUGACUGCGUACCUUUUGUAUAAUGGGUCAGCGACUUAUAUUCUGUAGCAAGGUUAACCGAAUAGGGGAGCCGAAGGGAAACCGAGUCUUAACUGGGCGUUAAGUUGCAGGGUAUAGACCCGAAACCCGGUGAUCUAGCCAUGGGCAGGUUGAAGGUUGGGUAACACUAACUGGAGGACCGAACCGACUAAUGUUGAAAAAUUAGCGGAUGACUUGUGGCUGGGGGUGAAAGGCCAAUCAAACCGGGAGAUAGCUGGUUCUCCCCGAAAGCUAUUUAGGUAGCGCCUCGUGAACUCAUCUCCGGGGGUAGAGCACUGUUUCGGCAAGGGGGUCAUCCCGACUUACCAACCCGAUGCAAACUGCGAAUACCGGAGAAUGUUAUCACGGGAGACACACGGCGGGUGCUAACGUCCGUCGUGAAGAGGGAAACAACCCAGACCGCCAGCUAAGGUCCCAAAGUCAUGGUUAAGUGGGAAACGAUGUGGGAAGGCCCAGACAGCCAGGAUGUUGGCUUAGAAGCAGCCAUCAUUUAAAGAAAGCGUAAUAGCUCACUGGUCGAGUCGGCCUGCGCGGAAGAUGUAACGGGGCUAAACCAUGCACCGAAGCUGCGGCAGCGACACUAUGUGUUGUUGGGUAGGGGAGCGUUCUGUAAGCCUGUGAAGGUGUGCUGUGAGGCAUGCUGGAGGUAUCAGAAGUGCGAAUGCUGACAUAAGUAACGAUAAAGCGGGUGAAAAGCCCGCUCGCCGGAAGACCAAGGGUUCCUGUCCAACGUUAAUCGGGGCAGGGUGAGUCGACCCCUAAGGCGAGGCCGAAAGGCGUAGUCGAUGGGAAACAGGUUAAUAUUCCUGUACUUGGUGUUACUGCGAAGGGGGGACGGAGAAGGCUAUGUUGGCCGGGCGACGGUUGUCCCGGUUUAAGCGUGUAGGCUGGUUUUCCAGGCAAAUCCGGAAAAUCAAGGCUGAGGCGUGAUGACGAGGCACUACGGUGCUGAAGCAACAAAUGCCCUGCUUCCAGGAAAAGCCUCUAAGCAUCAGGUAACAUCAAAUCGUACCCCAAACCGACACAGGUGGUCAGGUAGAGAAUACCAAGGCGCUUGAGAGAACUCGGGUGAAGGAACUAGGCAAAAUGGUGCCGUAACUUCGGGAGAAGGCACGCUGAUAUGUAGGUGAAGUCCCUUGCGGAUGGAGCUGAAAUCAGUCGAAGAUACCAGCUGGCUGCAACUGUUUAUUAAAAACACAGCACUGUGCAAACACGAAAGUGGACGUAUACGGUGUGACGCCUGCCCGGUGCCGGAAGGUUAAUUGAUGGGGUUAGCGGUAACGCGAAGCUCUUGAUCGAAGCCCCGGUAAACGGCGGCCGUAACUAUAACGGUCCUAAGGUAGCGAAAUUCCUUGUCGGGUAAGUUCCGACCUGCACGAAUGGCGUAAUGAUGGCCAGGCUGUCUCCACCCGAGACUCAGUGAAAUUGAACUCGCUGUGAAGAUGCAGUGUACCCGCGGCAAGACGGAAAGACCCCGUGAACCUUUACUAUAGCUUGACACUGAACAUUGAGCCUUGAUGUGUAGGAUAGGUGGGAGGCUUUGAAGUGUGGACGCCAGUCUGCAUGGAGCCGACCUUGAAAUACCACCCUUUAAUGUUUGAUGUUCUAACGUUGACCCGUAAUCCGGGUUGCGGACAGUGUCUGGUGGGUAGUUUGACUGGGGCGGUCUCCUCCUAAAGAGUAACGGAGGAGCACGAAGGUUGGCUAAUCCUGGUCGGACAUCAGGAGGUUAGUGCAAUGGCAUAAGCCAGCUUGACUGCGAGCGUGACGGCGCGAGCAGGUGCGAAAGCAGGUCAUAGUGAUCCGGUGGUUCUGAAUGGAAGGGCCAUCGCUCAACGGAUAAAAGGUACUCCGGGGAUAACAGGCUGAUACCGCCCAAGAGUUCAUAUCGACGGCGGUGUUUGGCACCUCGAUGUCGGCUCAUCACAUCCUGGGGCUGAAGUAGGUCCCAAGGGUAUGGCUGUUCGCCAUUUAAAGUGGUACGCGAGCUGGGUUUAGAACGUCGUGAGACAGUUCGGUCCCUAUCUGCCGUGGGCGCUGGAGAACUGAGGGGGGCUGCUCCUAGUACGAGAGGACCGGAGUGGACGCAUCACUGGUGUUCGGGUUGUCAUGCCAAUGGCACUGCCCGGUAGCUAAAUGCGGAAGAGAUAAGUGCUGAAAGCAUCUAAGCACGAAACUUGCCCCGAGAUGAGUUCUCCCUGACUCCUUGAGAGUCCUGAAGGAACGUUGAAGACGACGACGUUGAUAGGCCGGGUGUGUAAGCGCAGCGAUGCGUUGAGCUAACCGGUACUAAUGAACCGUGAGGCUUAACCUUACAACGCCGAAG